rnacentral:piRNA from 1 species
UAGUCAUUUAUGCCUAUGGUUCUGAUUGAGU